rnacentral:rRNA from 1 species
GACGAACGCUGGCGGCGUGCUUAACACAUGCAAGUCGAGCGGUAAGGCCCUUUCGGGGGUACACGAGCGGCGAACGGGUGAGUAACACGUGGGUGACCUGCCCUCAGCUCUGGGAUAAGCCUGGGAAACCGGGUCUAAUACUGGAUAUGACUCCAUGACGCAUGUUGUGGGGUGGAAAGCCUUGUGCGGCUGAGGAUGGGCCCGCGGCCUAUCAGCUUGUUGGUGGGGUGANCGGCCUACCAAGGCGACGACGGGUAGCCGGCCUGAGAGGCGACCGGCCACACUGGGACUGAGACACGGCCCAGACUCCUACGGGAGGCAGCAGUGGGGAAUCUUGCGCAAUGGGCGAAAGCCUGACGCAGCGACGCCGCGUGAGGGAUGACGGCC